rnacentral:rRNA from 1 species
GACAGAGGGUGCAAACGUUGCUCGGAAUUACUGGGCGUAAAGCGCGUGUAGGCGGGCUGAUAAGUCGGACGUGAAAUCCCUGAGCUCAACUCAGGAACUGCAUUCGAAACGGUCAGUCUGGAGUAGUGGAGAGGAAAGCAGAAUUCCUGGUGUAGAGGUGAAAUUCGUAGAUAUCAGGAGGAACACCGGUGGCGAAGGCGGCUUUCUGGACACUUACUGACGCUGAGACGCGAAAGCGUGGGGAGCAAACAGG